GGCAGUGGUAGCUCAGUGGUUAAGUCGUUGGGUUACUGACCAGAACAUCAUGAGUUCAAACCCCAGCACUGCCA